CAAUAUUUUCCGAUGUUGUUAAAUCGAUCUUGAAUACGCGUUUAUUCGAUAAUCAAUCAUCAAGCCGCCUGCGCACGUAUCUCUAAUCAACAAAAGCCUUCCGAGUAAGCUCUAACGAGAAUCGUACCAAUAAUGAUCAUUACCGCGUGAAUGUAGAUUAGAACGUGGAAGAAUUGACAGUUGUAGGUUGAAGACAUACGCUGGCCUGCAGAAGAAACACCUAACGGAAUUACGUAAGAUCAGCUGUUCGACUUGGCGUAUAUAUACCAACAGAACCAGUAACAGUAUAUUUAGAAGAACCUUGAGCAGAAGAAAUACGUACAGCUAUGCUCCACCAAAUCCGCCGCAGUGAUGUCAGUCUGCACAAACAUCGUCAUCCCUACAUUUGGCUUGUGGUUACGCACGACACGCCGAUGCACCAAAAGCGCGAAUUACAGGUAGAGGUAUCCGCGAUACGUGGUUGUAUCGAAAGUGCAGACUGUUGGGUAUCGCGGCAAAAGUAACGUGCGACUGCUCGCGGGCAACGCAGACGAGACUCGAGUCCCUCAAGUCGUGCCACUCCGACUCCCGCGGCUUAUAAGGAGCGGCUCUGACGGCUCGGAACGCGACGCUGGCCACCGGAAAACUGUCGCAAAAUGCUGCAGAGGUGGCAGGUACUUCGGUUUGUCACAACAGUAUUUUUCGAUGCAACAUUCUUUAUUUACCUACCUGUACACCUUCAACUGCUAGGCAGUGAGGAAACAGGCAAAAUAGAUUUUUUCCUCAUUGGAAAUUGCGUCGCCCGGUAUUGAGGACGGAUAUUUUAUAUUUAACGUAGUUGUGGAAUGAUCAAUGCGAAAUUAAGACUGUCGUUGAUAAUUUUUUAUUUGCAUCCAGACGCAGUCUGUUAUAAAAGAUUAAAUGACAAUGAUAAUGGAAUUGAAAUGCGCACGAAGAUAAGCAUUUUUCAUGCAACGAACGAGUUUGUGCGGACCUAUUAACAAUAAAUCCAAUUCAAUGUUUGCAGGAAUAAAUAUUUCUAUUCCUGAUUGUGGACGCUUUGUAUUGUUAAUAUGGAAAUUGUGCUGGGAUUGUAGUAGAUAGAAUAAAUAUGUAAACACUGUUGUAGCAAGCAAAAAUUAGUCAACAUGUAUUUAUCGAGACGUAAGAAAAAAAAAAAUAACUACGAAAAAGGCCUUACCGUACGAAGUAAGUGUACCAUCCAAAUUAAUGUGUAUGUACAAUUUUAGAACAAACACUGUGUCUAUAAUGCUUGAUAGUGCUAUGUGAUUUAGGAGUAAUAGUUGUGAGUUUUUUUGUUUUAUUUUUUUAAAUAUCGUCUCGUCAAUGUUCAGCAAGAAAACAGAACGGAUAUUAUAAUACUAUGCAAAAUUAGUUCUAAGAAUAACCUACGUUUAUUGCUUAAAACUUAGGUUUGAAACAUCAUUUAAUCAUGUACAAAAUUCUAGGAAUGUAAACGAGGAUGAUAACAAUAAUAAAUUAGAAUAAUACGAGUAAAUAAAUCGAGGUUCAAUACACACAUAACACGAGAGACAGAUAUACCCUCGCAUAUAUCUACCUAUAUUAAUUCAGAUCACAACAACACAAAACAAGCCAAUGCAAAGAACAAAAUAGUAAAGGUACAGUUCUAAAAAUAAAUGGUUUCGAAAAAAAAACAGUACAAUAAUUCGUACCACUACUUAAAUUCAGUUUUCAAAAAAAAAGAAAAACCGAGUAUAAAGAGCGGACAAUAAACC
rnacentral:lncRNA from 1 species